rnacentral:rRNA from 1 species
CCCUUAGAUGUCCUGGGCUGCGCGCGCGCUACACUGACGAACUCAACGAGCUUAUCACCUUGGCAGAGAUGUCUGGGUAAUCUUUUGAAAGUUCGUCGUGCUGGGGAUAGAUGAUUGUAAUUAUUCGUCUUGAACGAGGAAUUCCUAGUAAGUGUGAGUCAUCAGCUCGCGCUGAUUACGUCCCUGCCCUUUGUACACACCGCCCGUCGCUCCUACCGAUUGAAUGGUCCGGUGAGGUUCUCGGAUUUUUUCUGUUGUUUGGUUCGCUAAACGAUUGAAGAGAGAAGUUACCCAAACCUUACCAUUUAGAGGAAGGAGAAGUCGUAACA